UCCCUGGUGGUCCAGCGGUUAAGACACUGUGCUUCCUACGCAGGAGGCCCGGGUUCGAUCCCUGGUCAGGGAA